GACGAACGCUGGCGGCGUGCUUAACACAUGCAAGUCGAACGGAAAGGCCCUGCUUUUGUGGGGUGCUCGAGUGGCGAACGGGUGAGUAACACGUGAGUAACCUGCCCUUGACUUUGGGAUAACUUCAGGAAACUGGGGCUAAUACCGGAUAGGAGCUCCUGCUGCAUGGUGGGGGUUGGAAAGUUUCGGCGGUUGGGGAUGGACUCGCGGCUUAUCAGCUUGUUGGUGGGGUAGUGGCUUACCAAGGCUUUGACGGGUAGCCGGCCUGAGAGGGUGAACGGGCACAUUGGGACUGCGGUACGGACCAGACUCCUACGGGAGGCAGCAGUGGGGAAUAUUGCACAAUGGGCGGAAGCCUGAUGCAGCAACGCCGCGUGCGGGAUGACGGCCUUCGGGUUGUGAACCGCUUUCGCCUGUGACGAAGCGUGAGUGACGGUAAUGGGUAAAGAAGCACCGGCUAACUACGUG
rnacentral:rRNA from 1 species